rnacentral:rRNA from 1 species
CCUGCGCGGAAGAUGUAACGGGGCUAAACCAUGCACCGAAGCUGCGGCAGCGACGCUGAUGCGUUGUUGGGUAGGGGAGCGUUCUGUAAGCCUGCGAAGGUGUGCUGUGAGGCAUGCUGGAGGUAUCAGAAGUGCGAAUGCUGACAUAAGUAACGAUAAAGCGGGUGAAAAGCCCGCUCGCCGGAAGACCAAGGGUUCCUGUCCAACGUUAAUCGGGGCAGGGUGAGUCGACCCCUAAGGCGAGGCCGAAAGGCGUAGUCGAUGGGAAACAGGUUAAUAUUCCUGUACUUGGUGUUACUGCGAAGGGGGGACGGAGAAGGCUAUGUUGGCCGGGCGACGGUUGUCCCGGUUUAAGCGUGUAGGCUGGUUUUCCAGGCAAAUCCGGAAAAUCAAGGCUGAGGCGUGAUGACGAGGCACUACGGUGCUGAAGCAACAAAUGCCCUGCUUCCAGGAAAAGCCUCUAAGCAUCAGGUAACAUCAAAUCGUACCCCAAACCGACACAGGUGGUCAGGUAGAGAAUACCAAGGCGCUUGAGAGAACUCGGGUGAAGGAACUAGGCAAAAUGGUGCCGUAACUUCGGGAGAAGGCACGC